UACGGAGGGUGCAAGCGUUGCUCGGAAUCACUGGGCGUAAAGCGACCGCAGGCGGCCUGACAAGUCGGAUGUGAAAGCCCUGGGCUCAACUCAGGAACUGCAUUCGAAACUGGUAGGCUCGAGUACGGGAGAGGGGGGUGGAAUUCCUGGUGUAGGGGUGAAAUUCGUUGAUAUCAGGAGGAACACCGGUGGCGAAGGCGGGUCUCUGGGCCGAUAUUGACGCUGAGGAGCGAAAGCGUGGGGAGCGAACAGG
rnacentral:rRNA from 1 species